CAUGUAGGCGGUUCUGUAAGUCUGGCGUGAAAUGGUUCGGCUUAACCGGAUCCUGCGUCGGAAACUGUGGGACUAGAAUCACUGAGGGGAAAUCAGAAUUCCAGGUGUAGGGGUGAAAUCUGUAGAUAUCUGGAAGAAUACCGGUGGCGAAGGCGGAUUUCUGGCAGAUGAUUGACGCUGAGGUGCGAAAGUGCGGGGAGCAAACA
rnacentral:rRNA from 1 species